UACCCUACGGGAGGCAGCAGUGAGGAAUAUUGGUCAAUGGCCGAGAGGCUGAACCAGCCAAGUCGCGUGAGGGAAGACGGCCCUACGGGUUGUAAACCUCUUUUGUCGGGGAGCAAAGCGAGUCACGUGUGACUCAUUGAGAGUACCCGAAGAAAAAGCAUCGGCUAACUCCGUGCCAGCAGCCGCGGUAAUACGGAGGAUGCGAGCGUUAUCCGGAUUUAUUGGGUUUAAAGGGUGCGUAGGCGGAUUUUUAAGUCAGCGGUAAAAUGUCCGGGCUCAACCCGGGCCGGCCGUUGAACCUGGGG
rnacentral:rRNA from 1 species